rnacentral:ncRNA from 1 species
ACCCCCGUGAGAAUGCCCUUAAACUCCCCCUACGGAGUAAAGGAGCUGGUAUCAGGCACACUCCUACUGAGCAGCCUAUGACACCUUGUUUAACCACACCCCUAAGGGUUCGCAGCAGUGAUAGAUAUUAAGCAAUAAGUGAAAACUUGACUUAAUUAAGGUUCAAAGGGCCGGUAAAAUUCGUGCCAGCCACCGCGGUUACACGAGAGGCCCAAGCUGACAGCCCUUCGGCGUAAAGGGUGGUUAAAACAAUUUUGUAUUAAAGUCAAACUCCUCCCCAGCUGUUGUACGUUUUUGGAGGAAAGAAGCCCCUUCUCGAAAGUAACUUUAAAUUUAUUGAACCCACGAAAGCUAUGACACAAACUGGGAUUAGAUACCCCACUAUGCUUAGCCUUAAACUUAAGUGCUUCAUUACAAAAGCACACGCCAGGGUAUUACGAGCAUAAGCUUAAAACCCAAAGGACUUGGCGGUGCUUAAUAACCCCCUAGAGGAGCCUGUUCUGGAACCGAUAACCCUCGUUAAACCUCACCCCUUCUUGCCUAACCCGUCUAUAUACCGCCGUCGUCAGCUCACCCUGUGAAGGUCGCAUAGUAAGCUCAACUAGAAUUACCUCUAAACGUCAGGUCGAGGUGUAGCAAAUGAAGGGGGAAGAAAUGGGCUACAUUUCCUACUUGUAGGAUACACGGAAUGUGUGUUGAAACACGCACUAUGAAGGAGGAUUUAGUAGUAAAUAGAAAAUAGAGAGUUCUAUUGAAGCUGGCCCUUAAGCGCGCACACACCGCCCGUCACUCUCCUCAAACCAAAAUAAUUCACUACCUAAAACAACUAAAGGGCCCAGAGGAGAUAAGUCGUAACAUGGUAAGUGUACCGGAAGGUGCACUUGGAAAAAU